rnacentral:rRNA from 1 species
UUUAAAGUCUAAUCUGCCCUAUGAGGAUUUAAAUGGCCGCGGUAUUUUGACCGUGCAAAGGUAGCAUAAUAAUUAGUUUUUUAAUUGAAAGCUGGAAUGAAUGAUUGAACGAGAAAAUAGCUGUCUCAAUUUAAUUUUAUUAGAAUUUUAUUUUUAAGUAAAAAAGCUUAAAUAGGUUUAAAAGACGAGAAGACCCUAUAGAGUUUAAUAAUUAAUUUAUUAUUGAUUUUUUAGUAUUAUUUUACUAUUAAUUAAUUAAUUAUUUUAUUGGGGUGAUAGAAAAAUAUAUUUAACUUUUUUUUAAUUAUUACAUUAAUUUAUGAAUUUUUGAUCCAUUAUUUAUGAUUAUAAGAUUAAGUUACCUUAGGGAUAACAGCGUAAUUUUUUUUUAGAGUUCUUAUCGAAAGAAAAGAUUGCGACCUCGAUGUUGGAUUAAAAUUAAUAUAAGGUGUAGAAGCUUUACUAUUAGGUCUGUUCGACCUUUAAAAUUUUACAUGAUCUGAGUUUAAACCGGCGUGAGCCAGGUUGGUUUCUAUCUUUAAUUAAUUAAAAUAUUUUAGUACGAAAGGACCAAAUAUUUAUAAUAAUUAUUUAUUUUUGAAUAAUAGUAGU